rnacentral:rRNA from 1 species
CAGCAGCCGCGGUAAUACGAAGGGUGCAAGCGUUACUCGGAAUUACUGGGCGUAAAGCGCACGUAGGCGGAUAUUUAAGUCAGGGGUGAAAUCCCGCAGCUCAACUGCGGAACUGCCUUUGAUACUGGGUAUCUUGAGUAUGGAAGAGGUUAGUGGAAUUGCGAGUGUAGAGGUGAAAUUCGUAGAUAUUCGCAGGAACACCAGUGGCGAAGGCGGCUAACUGGUCCAUAACUGACGCUGAGGUGCGAAAGCGUGGGGAGCAAACAGGAUUAGAUACCCCGGUAGUCCCUGUCUCUUAUAC